UAGGGAGUGGGCCAACUGGCAUCCGCUCUUACUAACUUGGGAGACAUGCAGUAUUCCACCCCAUAGUUUGCCUGCCAGCAUUCAAGGCAGAAUAACUUUUGGGUGUGUAGCAUAUCCUGAGUGCUGCUCUUAACUGGGCUGGAAGGUAACGGCCUGAAAGAGGGAGAGCAUCCGAUUCCUGCCACUUCUGUUUCCUGCUCACAUUUGCUGUCUGUUAUUCUGCCUAAGGGAAAUUCCCACUUCAGGAUCCUAUCCCCAGAGUGUGAGGGAGCUGCCCAUGUACUUGCCUGGUCCCUAAGUAUAGCACUCCUGUCGUCAUUCCGGGCACUCAGCAAGGUUUUUUUUUUUAAGUCAAUGAAGUUUGAAGCCCAUCAGCAUCAGCAUGGGUGAUACCCAAUUUCCAUAUUUAUCCAGGGCAGCAGUUUUUUCUGCCUGCCUGCUGCUGAACCCCCUCCUCGGCCUUUGUUGCAGAAGGAUGUCCACGCAGUAGCCUCCCUCCUGAAGAGAUACCUCCGAGAGCCCCCGUCAUUCCUUUUACAAAUUAGCAAGACUUUCUCUCCUGCAGCCAGUUGCUUUCCAAGGACAAAGGCGAGAUUCCUCGAUGAAGUUCAGUCUUACGCCAGCCAUAACAAGAUGAGCAUCCAGAACCUUGUCACGGUGUUUGGACCAAACAUUUCUUCGGCCUCAGAUGGAAGACCCUGUGACUCAGAUGAAAGACUCCACCUUUUCACGAUAAUGGAAGGAAGGCGGCUGAAGCCAGGAAGAAAUGUUCUCACCGGAAGGCCGAAACAAAGGAUACAGCUUCACUUAUGCUGCACCCGCAAAGCGACAGCUUUCCAGAAAACAUUAAAAUCUGAAUUAUUCCCCACUGCCCUUGGAGGCCAAAUGUAGUUUUGCUUCUCUUGUCACUGAGAUUUGUGGAUGUGGAGCAACUGUCCCUGGGCUAAGGAGCAAAGAUGGUUUUAGGUCUGCAAGGGAUUGGUCUGCCAUCCUGCGCUGUGUUACUAUUUUAAUGUUAUUUGUCAUGGUUCUUUCAGUGUCACAUUUGCCGAGCAUCCUUUGCUGUUUAUAGAAUUAUGCAAACCAUGGACAUUUAGGUUACUGUAAUUUGCCAAGAGUCAGGCAAA